UAAAGGUUUGGUCCCAGCCUUCCUAUUAAUUGUUAGCAAAUUUACACAUGCAAGUAUCCGCGCCCCUGUGAGAAUACCCUUUAAAUCACCUAUGACUGAAAGGAGUAGGUAUCAAGCACACUUAUUUAUAAGUAGCUAAUCACACCUUGCUUAGCCACACCCCCACGGGAAACAGCAGUGAUAAAAAUUAAGCCAUGAACGAAAGUUCGACUAAGUUAUGCUAAUAUUUAGGGUUGGUAAAUUUCGUGCCAGCCACCGCGGUCAUACGAUUAACCCAAAUUAAUAGGUAGCGGCGUAAAGCGUGUUAAAGAACACUAAAUAAAAUAAAGAUAAAACUUGACUAGGCUGUAGAAAGCAACAGUCAAGACUAAAAUAAACUACGAAAGUGACUUUAUUACUUUUGAUCACACGAUAGCUAAGACCCAAACUGGGAUUAGAUACCCCACUAUGCUUAGCCCUAAACUUAGGUAAUUUAAUUAACAAAACUACUCGCCAGAGGACUACUAGCAACAGCUUAAAACUCAAAGGACUUGGCGGUGCUUUAUAUCCAUCUAGAGGAGCCUGUUCUAUAAUCGAUAAACCCCGAUAAACCUCACCGCCCCUUGCUAAUACAGCUUAUAUACCGCCAUCUUCAGCAAACCCUUAAAAGGAAUAACAGUAAGCUUAAAUAUUUCACAUAAAAACGUUAGGUCAAGGUGUAGCUUAUGGGGCGGGAAGAAAUGGGCUACAUUUUCUAUAACUAGAAUAUUCACGAAAGUUUCUAUGAAACUAGAAACCAAAGGAGGAUUUAGUAGUAAGUUAAGAAUAGAGCGCUUAACUGAACCAGGCCAUGAAGCACGCACACACCGCCCGUCACCCUCCUCAAGUAUUUUAAGUCUACUGAUAUAUAAUCUCAGACUAACUAAUAUUAGAGGAGAUAAGUCGUAACAAGGUAAGCAUACUGGAAAGUGUGCUUGGACGAAU
rnacentral:rRNA from 13 species